GUGAAUCAUCGAAUCUUUGAACGCACCUUGCGCCCUUUGGUAUUCCGAGGAGCAUGCCUGUUUGAGUGUCAUUAAAUUCUCAACCUUUAUCAGCUUUUGUUGAUAAUUGGCUUGGAUAUGGGGGUCUUUUGCUGGCUUCUUCACAGAUGGUCAGCUCCCCUUAAAUGCAUUAGCCGGUGCCCCGCGUGGACUGUCUAUUGGUGUGAUAAUUAUCUACGCCGUGGACAUCUACAAUCAUAUGGGUUUGCACUGCUUCCACCGUCUGUUUAUUCGGACAAAUACAUGACAAUUGACCUCAAUCAGGUAGUUCUACCCGCUGAAACUUAAGCAGAAUCCAAUUAAGCGUGG
rnacentral:rRNA from 1 species